CCUGUCACUCGAUUAGUCUCAAUGCUUCCUAUCCUCUUUUCUGUUUGACACAUGUUAUUGUCGUAAGUGUGGUGGUGGCCUCUAAGAUUUGAGUUAGAACAAUCAUGUCUUGAAGAUGAAAUAUGAUUGCAUGUUUUAGAUCCAUUAAGGCGAAUAUAUGCCCUAAGCCACUCGCUGUCGCCUUUGCGUCCUCUGCGUGCUGUUUGAAUUCUCCUUGGGAAAGCGUCCCUUAUCAACACACUGUGGAGGAGACAAGGAAAAGACGAGAAGUGGCUUAGGAUGGGGAGAGUCUCUUCCUCCCAGACGAGACCACCAAAUAAGAACAGUUUGGUUUCCACAUGGUAGCGUGUCCCGAUGAACCCAUUUAUAGCCUUACAUCCAUUAUCCUCAGAAAGCACUUAUGGCCACUCAUGAUGCCCUCAAGUACACAAAGGAAAGCAGCACAUUCAUUCACCCUCUGAUUCCAUGGAUGCCAUGCGUCACGAUAGAGGAAGAACUUGGAGCUUAAAAGAUGGCAGUUUGUCUUUGGCACAGGAACCUAUCUCACUCGUGAAGCUUAGAGCUAAGUUGGAUUGUGAGGAGUAGAAAUUACUAGAGUCAACCCCACUGACUACUUGACCCAACAAAAAGCUCAAGUCAUCACCAAAAAGGCCACAGCAACACUCACAGGGGUUGAUGUCCAAACUCCACAAAAAGCUCAGGACAGGUUCAUCUGUGCUUUGGUCUUCAAAGAAAAAGCUAAUGGCACCACUGAGAGUGACACAGUAAACCCAGCGAGGGUUGGUGUCUCGACUCCACUGAACUGAGGCCAAGAGAGGAAAGAUGCCAUUUGCAAUCACAAGCUGGAAGACACUACCACCACCAUGGCUCUGCUAAGAUAACAAGAGCUCAUGGGCAGUGGCCACACAACCUUUGACAAGAAGGAAGGUAUCAACGGGGCAGUGGCCUCGUGAUUGGGGCAGAGUUGUUCUCUGCAGGAGUAUCUGCAUCAAUUCAUGUGCACAUGUGUUUUGUGGUGGACAUGGUGGAAUGGAUUGACAGAAUGAUUGACCUGAACACAUGGAUGUAUGUACAUGUAUGAAGAUGGUGAAAUAUGUGUGUGUAUAUAUAUAAUUGGGAAAAGGAAGGUGGAAAUGGAACUGUAUUCCCAGCCAUGGGGAUUGGUGAGAUCUUUAGGUGAGGCAUCUGUUUGGAUUUUGGAGGAGAAAAAGGGAACAGCACUUUUGAGUUAUCUAUAGAUUUGUUAUAUGCUGGCAUCUGUGUUGCAAUCUUGGCUGGUUUUGACU